rnacentral:misc_RNA from 1 species
AUAGAUCGUAGUUAUAAUAAUUGUAUAAUAAUUUGAACAACAAUUGAUGGAGCGCGGACAAAAGCUCAAAAAGAUUCAAUUUUUUUCAAAGAAAACUUUCAUCGAGUAAUAUUUAAUAAAACAUUAGGAUUAGUGCAGCAGGUUAGUAUGCACUGUGAAGGCUGUAUUAAAGCGGAAGUCAGCACAUGUUAACAAAAAGAAAUCCAGGAAUGAGGUGGACAUUAAUUUAAUAUUCAACUACCGCGCAACUACCGUAAUGCGAGAGAUAGGUUCAAGAAAAAUGUCAUGUUGCAAAAAUCAUGUUAUAUUCAGAUUACAUAAGACAAGCGAAUCUAUAUUUCAUAAAUGAUUCUUUUAAACAUAAUGCGAACUUUAUAUAUCCAGAAAAGCCAGCAUCGUUCAUAUCCGUUGGAAAAGUCUCCGAAAAAAGUAAAUUUCUAAUAAUAAGCUUGUGAUCAAAAAUUUCAUCAGGCAAAUUUUGAUCUAUCCCUGUAGAUCUAUCAAGUAGGUAG